rnacentral:rRNA from 1 species
CCUACGGGGUGCAGCAGUAGGGAAUAUUGCUCAAUGGGGGAAACCCUGAAGCAGCAACGCCGCGUGGAGGAUGAAGGUUUUCGGAUUGUAAACUCCUUUUGUUAGAGAAGAUAAUGACGGUACCUAACGACUAAGCACCGGCUAACUCCGUGCCAGCAGCCGCGGUCAUACGGAGGGUGCAAGCGUUACUCGGAAUCACUGGGCGUAAAGAGCGCGUAGGCGGGAUAGCAAGUCAGAUGUGAAAUCCUAUGGCUUAACCAUAGAACUGCAUUUGAAACUGUUAUUCUGGAGUGUGGGAGAGGUAGGUGGAAUUCUUGGUGUAGGGGUAAAAUGCGUAGAGAUCAAGAGGAAUACUCAUUGCGAAGGCGGCCUGCUGGAACAUAACUGACGCUGAUGCGCGAAAGCGUGGGGAGCAAACAGGAUUAGAUACCCUUGUAGUC